rnacentral:rRNA from 1 species
CAGCCGCCACGGGAAUACGAAGGGGGCUAGCGUUGUUCGGAUUUACUGGGCGUAAAGCGCACGUAGGCGGAUUCUUAAGCCAGAGGUGAAAUCCCAAGGCUCAACCUUGGAACUGCCUUUGAUACUGGGGAUCUUGAGUUCGGGAGAGGUGAGUGGAACUGCGAGUGUAGAGGUGAAAUUCGUAGAUAUUCGCAAGAACACCAGUGGCGAAGGCGGCUCACUGGCCCGAUACUGACGCUGAGGUGCGAAAGCGUGGGGAGCAAACAGGAUUAGAUACCCCCGUAGUCCCUGUCUCUUAUAC